AUUGAACGCUGGCGGCAGGCCUAACACAUGCAAGUCGAGCGGAUGAAGGGAGCUUGCUCCUGGAUUCAGCGGCGGACGGGUGAGUAAUGCCUAGGAAUCUGCCCGGGAGUGGGGGAUCACGUCCGGGAACGGGGGCUAAUACCGCAUACGUCCUGAGGGAGUAAGUGGGGGAUCUUCGGACCUCCCGCUAUCUGCGUAGCCUAGGUCGGAUUAGCUAGUUGGUGGGGUAACGGCCCACCAAGGCGACGAUCCGUAACUGGUCUGAGAGGAUGAUCAGUCACACUGGAACUGAGACACGGUCCAGACUCCUACGGGAGGCAGCAGUGGGGAAUAUUGGACAAUGGGCGAAAGCCUGAUGCAGCCAUGCCGCGUGUGUGAAGAAGGUCUUCGGAUUGUAAACCACUUUAAGUUGGGAGGAAGGGCAGUAAGUUAAUAGCUUGCUGGUUUGACGUUACCAACAGAAUAAGCACCGGCUAACUACGUG
rnacentral:rRNA from 1 species